rnacentral:rRNA from 1 species
GACGAACCGUGCGAACGUUAUUCGGAAUCACUGGGCUUAAAGCGCGUGUAGGCGGGUCGGCGCGUCGGCCGUUGAAAUCCCCCGGCUCAACCGGGGAACGGGCGCCGAUACGGCCGGCCUGGAGGGGGGUAGGGGGAGCCGGAACUCACGGUGGAGCGGUGAAAUGCGUUGAGAUCGUGAGGAACGCCCGUGGCGAAAGCGGGCUCCUGGGCCCCGCCUGACGCUGAGACGCGAAAGCCAGGGGAGCGAACGGG